rnacentral:rRNA from 1 species
CAGCAGUCGCCGCGGUAAUACGUAGGUGGCAAGCGUUGUCCGGAAUUAUUGGGCGUAAAGCGCGCGCAGGUGGUUUAAUAAGUCUGAUGUGAAAGCCCACGGCUCAGCCGUGGAGGGUCAUUGGAAACUGUUAAACUUGAGUGCAGGAGAGGAGAGUGGAAUUCCACGUGUAGCGGUGAAGUGCGUAGAGAUGUGGAGGAACACCAGUGGCGAAGGCGACUCUUUGGUCUGUAACUGACGCUGAGGAGCGAAAGUGUGGGGAGCGAACAGGAUUAGAUACCCCGGUAGUCCCUGUCUCUUAUAC